AUUGAACGCUGGCGGCAGGCCUAACACAUGCAAGUCGAACGGGUGGCGGACGGGUGAGUAAUGUCUUGAAAACUGCCCGAUGGAGGGUGAUAACUACUGUAAACGGUAGCUAAUACCGCAUACCAUCGGAUGUGCCCAGAUGGGAUGAGCUAGUAGGUGGGGUAACGGCGCACUAAGGCGACGAUCCCUAGCGGGUCUGAGAGUAUGACCAGCCACAUUGGAACUGAGACACGGUCCAGACUCCUCCGGGAGGCAGCAGUGGGGAAGAUUGCACAAUGGGCGAAAGCCUGAUGCAGCCAUGCCGCGUGAAUGAAGAAGGCUUUCGGGUUGUAAAGUACUUUCAGCGGGGAGGCGUUACCCGCAGAAGAAGCAACGGCUAACUACGUGCCAGCAGCCGCGGUAAUAC
rnacentral:rRNA from 1 species